UUUUAUCAUUCUCUUAUUUUAGAAGUUACAGGGGGGGGGGGGGGGCACACAUUUUACCACUUUGGAAGUGUCUCUCGCGCAAACUAUUCAGUUUAGAAAAAAAUGAUAUUAGAAACCUCAAUAUCAUUUUUGAAGACCUAUCCAUAGAUACCCCACACGUAUGGGUUUGAUGAAAAAGUUUUGACUUUCAGCGAUUUAUGACGUAUUAAAAAAAAACUACUUACUAGAUCUCGAUCAAACCAAUUUUCGGUGGAAGUUUACAUGGUAAUGUACAUCGUAUAUUUUUUUUAGUUUUAUCAUUCUCUUAUUUUAGAAGUUACAGGAGGGGGGGGGACACAUUUUACCACUUUGGAAGUGUCUCUCGCGCAAACUAUUCAGUUUAGAAAAAAAUGAUAUUAGAAACCUCAAUAUCAUUUUUGAAGACCUAUCCAUAGAUACCCCACACGUAUGGGUUUGAUGAAAAAAAAUUUUU